UUCCGGUUGAUCCUGCCGGAGGCCACUGCUAUUGGGAUUCGCCUAAGCCAUGCGAGUCGACCGAGCUCGAGCUUUUCGGAGCUUGAGCGAAGGGGCGGACGGCUCAGUAACACGUGGGUAAUCUACCCUCAGGUCAGGGAUAACCCCGGGAAACUGGGGCUAAUAACUGAUAGGUGAUGUGGUCUGGAAGGAUACAUCGCCCAAAGCUCCGGCGCCCGAGGAUGAGCCUGCGUCCGAUUAGGUUGUUAGUGGUGUAACAGACCACCAAGCCAGCGAUCGGUACGGGCAGUGAGAGCUGUAGCCCGGAGAUGGGGGCUGAGACACGGCCCCAGGCCCUACGGGGCGCAGCAGGCGCGAAAACUUCGUAAUGCUCGCAAGAGCGACGGGGGGAUCCCAAGUGCUCCUGUACUGCAGGAGCUUUUGUGGAGUUUAACCAGCUCCACGAAUAAGAGCUGGGUAAGACCGGUGCCAGCCGCCGCGGUAACCACCGGCAGCUCGNAGUGNGUGGCCGCUUUUAUUGGGGCCUAAAGCGUCCGUAGCCGGCCAGGUAAGUNCCCUGUGUAAAUCUUCAGGCUUAACCUGAAGAAUUGCGGGGAUACUGCUUGGCUUGGGGCCGGAAGACGUGGAGGGUACUCCGGGGGUAGCGGUGAAAUGCUGUAAUCCUCGGGGGACCACCAGGGGCGAAGGCUCUCCACGAGGACGGGCCCGACGGUGAGGGACGAAAGCCAGGGGAGCGAACGGGAUUAGAUACCCCGGUAGUCCCGGCCGUAAACGCUGCAGGCUUGGUGUUGCACGCUCUACGGGGGCGUGCAGUGCCGAAGCGAAGGCGAUAAGCCUGCCGCCUGGGAAGUACGCUCGCAAGAGUGAAACUUAAAGGAAUUGGCGGGGGAGCACCACAAGGGGUGAAGUCUGCGGUUCAAUUGGAGUCAACGCCGGGAAGCCGAAUUCUGCAGAUAUCCAUCACACUGGCGGCCGCUCGAGCAUGCAUCUAGAGGGCCCAAUUCGCCCUAUAGUGAGUCGUAUUACAAUUCACUGGCCGUCGUUUUACAACGUCGU
rnacentral:rRNA from 1 species